GACAGAGGUGCCGAGCGUUAGGCGGAAUCACUGGGCUUAAAGCGUGUGUAGGCGGGCCGUUAAGUGUCUUGUGAAAUCCCCCGGCUCAACCGGGAAUUGCUGGGCAUACUGGCGGUCUUGAGCAGUUCAGGGGCAGAUGGAACAAGUGGUGGAGCGGUGAAAUGCGUAGAUAUCACUUGGAACGCCAACGGUGAAAACAGUCUGCUGGGAACUUGCUGACGCUGAGACACGAAAGCCAGGGGAGCGAACGGG
rnacentral:rRNA from 1 species